GAUGAACGUUGGCGGCGUGCCUAAUACAUGCAAGUCGAACGAAGACUGUAGUAAUACUGUCUUAGUGGCGAACGGGUGAGUAACGCGUGGGUGACCUGCCUCGAAGACCGGGAUAACAGACCGAAAGGGCUGCUAAUACCGGAUGUGGUCAAGGAUCCGCAUGGAUCUUUGAUUAAAGGGGAAACCCGUUUCGAGAUGGGCCCGCGUCCUAUCAGCUAGUUGGUGAGGUAAAAGCUCACCAAGGCGACGACGGGUAGCCGGCCUGAGAGGGUGACCGGCCACACUGGAACUGAGACACGGUCCAGACUCCUACGGGAGGCAGCAGUGGGAAUAUUGGGCAAGUGGGGGAACCCUGACCCAGCGACGCCGCGUGAGGGAUGAAGGUUUUCGGAUCGUAAACCUCUGUUGUACGGAAGAAGGAUGUGACGGUACGUACGAGAAAGCCCCGGCAAACUACGUGCCAGCACGCCGCGGUAAAAUCACGUGUA
rnacentral:rRNA from 1 species